UACGUAGGGGGCAAGCGUUGUCCGGAUUUAUUGGGCGUAAAGAGCGUGUAGGCGGCUAGGUAGGUCCGUUGUGAAAAACUCGAGCUCAACCUCGAGACGCCGGUGGAAACCAUCUAGCUAGAGUCCGGAAGAGGAGAGUGGAAUUCCAGGUGUAGCGGUGAAAUGCGUAGAUAUCUGGAGGAACACCGGUGGCGAAGGCGGCAUCCUGGACCGGUAUUGACGCUGAGGCGCGAAAGCUAGGGGAGCAAACGGGG
rnacentral:rRNA from 1 species